rnacentral:rRNA from 1 species
CCUACGUGAGGCAGCAGUGAGGAAUAUUGGUCAAUGGGCUUACGCCUGAACCAGCCAAGUCGCGUGAGGGAAGACUGCCCUAUGGGUUGUAAACCUCUUUUGUCAGGGAGCAACGCCGGCUACGUGUAGCCGGACUGAGAGUACCUGAAGAAAAAGCAUCGGCUAACUCCGUGCCAGCAGCCGCGGUAAUACGGAGGAUGCGAGCGUUAUCCGGAUUUAUUGGGUUUAAAGGGUGCGUAGGCGGAAUGCCAAGUCAGCGGUAAAAUCGCGGGGCUCAACCUCUCUCCGCCGUUGAAACUGGCGUUCUUGAGUGGGCGAGAAGUAUGCGGAAUGCGUGGUGUAGCGGUGAAAUGCAUAGAUAUCACGCAGAACUCCGAUUGCGAAGGCAGCAUACCGGCGCCCAACUGACGCUGAAGCACGAAAGCGUGGGUAUCGAACAGGAUUAGAUACCCCAGUAGUC